ACGUAGGGCGCGAGCGUUAAUCGGAAUUACUGGGCGUAAAGCGUGCGCAGGCGGUUCUCCAAGUCCGUUGUGAAAGCCCCGGGCUCAACCUGGGAAUGGCAGUGGAAACUAGGGGACUGGAAUCUGGCAGAGGGGGGUGGAAUGCCGCGUGUAGCAGUGAAAUGCGUAGAGAUGCGGCGGAACACCGAUGGCGAAGGCGGCCUGCUGGGCAGUUUAGCUGACACUGAGGCGCGACAGCGUGGGGAGCAAACAGGA
rnacentral:rRNA from 1 species